GACGAACGCUGGCGGCGUGCUUAACACAUACAAGUCGAACGGUGCAGAGAAAUCCAUUUUGGUGGGUGAGGAAAAAUAGAGAAAGGGUGAGAAACACGUAAGUAACCUGCCCCCUUCUUCUGGAUAACCGCAUGAAAGUGUGGCUAAUACGGGAUAUUCUGGGUCUGUCGCAUGAUGGGUCUGGGAAAGAUAUUGUUUCGGUGGGGGAUGGGCUCGCGGCCUAUCAGCUUGUUGGUGGGGUGAUGGCCUACCAAGGCGGUGACGGGUAGCCGGCCUGAGAGGGUGGACGGUCACACUGGGACUGAGACACGGCCCAGACUCCUACGGGAGGCAGCAGUGGGGAAUAUUGCACAAUGGGCGCAAGCCUGAUGCAGCGACGCCGCGUGAGGGAUGGAGGCCUUCGGGUUGUGAACCUCUUUCGCCAGUGAAGCAGGCCUGCCUCGUUUGUGGGUGGGUUGACGGUAGCUGGAUAAGAAGCGCCGGCUAACUACGUG
rnacentral:rRNA from 1 species